UACGUAGGGUGCAAGCGUUGUCCGGAAUUAUUGGGCGUAAAGAGCUCGUAGGCGGUUUGUCGCGUCUGCCGUGAAAGUCCGGGGCUCAACUCCGGAUCUGCGGUGGGUACGGGCAGACUAGAGUGAUGUAGGGGAGACUGGAAUUCCUGGUGUAGCGGUGAAAUGCGCAGAUAUCGGGAGGAACACCAAUGGCGAAGGCAGCUCGCUGGGACGGUACUGACGCUGAGGCGCGAAAGCGUGGGGAGCAAACAGG
rnacentral:rRNA from 1 species